GAAACUGUUUGGUGGACCUCAGA
rnacentral:piRNA from 1 species